ensembl:lncRNA
AGACCUGUGUGGAGAAAGCACCACAGGCCAGCCAGGGCGCCAGCUCGCAAGCACAGGUCACAGGUCAUAGUGGCUCCAUCGGGGUACAUUUUAGGUCUAGUGUACUGUCCUCUAGAGCCUGGCUAUGAGAUGGCACCAAAGAGAGAAAAUCUGCCCAGAUGUGGAUAGAUCCCUGACCUCACGCAAGUUGUCUCCUGGUAAGCAAGAACAAGUCGUCCGAAGCCUGUGUGACACAAGGUUUCCCAAGGUGUCAAGGACUCGAGGACACAAGGUGACCUUCAGUCACUCCUCCCCCAGAACCCUUUCUAUCCUCCCAUCUCUCUCUCAAAUUCCUGGCAUUCAUCUGUCGACUUCACCCUUCUGUUUCCUCCUCAUUUCACCAGAUGGAAUCUUUUUUUUUAAUUUUUAUUUUAGGAUUAUUUUUUUAAUACUUAUUUAUUUGGCUACACCAGGUCUUAAUUGCAGUACACAGGGUCUUUAGCUGCUGCAAGCAAACUCUUAGUUAGCAUCUGGGAUCAGGUUCCCUGACCAAGGAUUGAACUCAGUCCCCCUGCAUUGGGAGCAUGGACAGAGUCUUAGCCACUGGACCACUAGGCAAGUCCCUAGAUGAAAUCUUUGUUCGCAGCUCCCUUGAAGACUGAGUAGUUUCUCAAGCCAGGUUGGGCAUCGGCCCUAUCCAUGGUGCUGAAAUCUGCGAGGAGACCUGGAUGGAGAACGGUGUUUCUGUUCCAUGGUGAACACAUGAGAGAGGAUUCAGUGGUGGAACUAAAUGUUAUUUUAGUAUUUCCCUCAUGCCUUAAAUCCAACAGGUAACAGCUUGAAAACACAUAACUGAGAGAAGAUUUUCUGUCUAAAACGAUGCUUCUGAGCUGAAGCCUGGGAAGACAGUGACUUUAUCCUGAAUAUCCACAGAAAAUAAAGAUUCUGAGACAUAAUACAUCUCUAAAUCCAUUCAGAUGUCUGAAGACAGUAAGACAGAUGACAGUGGAAAGAAUGCUAAGG